rnacentral:rRNA from 1 species
AGAGUUUGAUCAUGGCUCAGAAUCAACGCUGGCGGCGUGCCUCAGACAUGCAAGUCGAACGCGAAAGCUCCCUUCGGGGGGCAAGUAGAGUGGCGUCCGGGUGAGUAACACGUAGGUAAUCUACCUUUGGGCGGGGAAUAACAACCGGAAACGGUUGCUAAUACCGCAUAAUGCAGCGGCACCACAUGGUGACAGUUGUUAAAGCGGGGGAUUUUCGGACCUCGCGCCUAAAGAGGAGCCUGCGGCGGAUUAGCUAGUUGGUAAGGUAACGGCUUACCAAGGCGACGAUCCGUAGCCGGCCUGAGAGGGCGGUCGGCCACACUGACACUGAAAUACGGGUCAGACUCCUACGGGAGGCAGCAGUCGGGAAUUUUGGGCAAUGGGCGAAAGCCUGACCCAGCAACGCCGCGUGAAGGAUGAAAUCCCUCGGGAUGUAAACUUCGCAAGAACAGGAAGAAUAAGCGAGCGCUAAUACCGUUCGCGAUGACGGUACUGUUUGUAAGCUCCGGCUAACUCCGUGCCAGCAGCCGCGGUAAUACGGGGGGAGCAAGCGUUGUUCGGAUUUACUGGGCGUAAAGGGCGCGUAGGCGGCCAGCGCAAGUCAGUUGUGAAAUCUCCGGGCUUAACUCGGAACGGUCAACUGAUACUGCGCGGCUAGAGUGCGGAAGGGGCAACUGGAAUUCUCGGUGUAGCGGUGAAAUGCGUAGAUAUCGAGAGGAACACCUGCGGCGAAAGCGGGUUGCUGGGCCGACACUGACGCUGAAGUGCGAAAGCCAGGGGAGCGAACGGGAUUAGAUACCCCGGUAGUCCUGGCCUUAAACGAUGAAUGCUUGGUGUCUGGGGUUUUAUAGUCCCCGGGUGCCGUAGCUAACGCGUUAAGCAUUCCGCCUGGGGAGUACGGUCGCAAGACUGAAACUCAAAGGAAUUGACGGGGACCCGCACAAGCGUG